UUGGGCGCGUCUUUCAAUUUCAACAUCAGUUUGCAAAUUCUUUCAUUUUAAAAAAAGGUCAGCAUUUUAGUACAAAUUUCUCCUACACGCACAUUGUUGUACACAAUGUUUUUGCAAGUAGUAUCCACUAAUAUAAUGCAUUUUUAUGCACACUUUACCUAAUUUGUAUGAAUUGCUUGAUUAGAGAUCUGCAUUGCAAAAUUCAAAGAAGUCUGAAUUUCACAAGAUGACUGUAUUUGGUUCAUAUAUUUUCAGGAGUUAGGAAGAUUCGCCUUUAAAUGUGAACCAAAUCCCUCAUUAGCUUGGCCUACCAAUGCACUUAGGUAAACAAAAGUGAGGAUUAAUCAGCAAUGUUAACUGUAUGCUGUGUACCCCCCCCCAACAGCACUUUCUGCAGUGGAUAAAAGAUUUGUUGUAAACAAAACAAAAAAGACCCUAAUGUAAUUGUAUAUUUUGUUUAAGGAUUGACUUGUUGAAUUAUUAGGUAGUGUUUCAAUUGAUUCAUUUGAUAGGGUUGGUUCACAUGAAAACGAAGAGCAAGACCUUGCAGUUCAGGAUAAGCAUGUUGAACCUGUGAAGCCUGCAAUGCAAAAUGUAGCUGCCUGCAGGGUAGACACUAUGUAAUGUUUUGGGCUGCAGUUCAACACAGGAUUAGGUGUGCUUAAAGCUCUUUUGAAAUAACUGGAUUUAAAGCUCCCAUCCCGAGCACAAGUGAGUUACCUGUCUGGGUCUCACAUGGCCCUUCCACUUCCUCGAUGUGGAACCCCAGAGUCUGCCAUACCUGCCGCCACCACACAGCAGGCAGGCAUUCCUGCUUGCGUGUGGGUCAGGCAUAGUGUGCCACAGAUAUAGAGUGGUGCUUUGGAACUCCAUUCUUGGCCCACACUCUGUGGUUUGGUUGUGUGUGUGUGUAGGAAUGCUGGCCAUUUUUCAAACCUCUGGUAGUGCCGAUUGCACUCUCCAGUGAUGGCUGGAGUGGUUCUGCCAGUGAAAUAGUUACAACACAGAGAAGGCGGGAGCAGAACAGGGUGGUUGGCUAGAUGGGGGGGAAUGGGGAGGUGGAAGCCUGUGUAAGGGGGAACUUCUGUGUUUGCAAGUGGAGGAAUGCGUGUUUUUGUGAGUGAGAAGAUGAGUGAUGGUUGAAUGAAGAGAAGGAGAGAGAGAGAGAGAGAGAGAGAGAGAGAGAGAGAGAGAGAGAGAGAAGUGCUGCCCCCCUCCCCACACUUUUGGAACACGUUCCAAUGGUGGACAGUUUCCCCCUAAGCGGCGAUGGCCCUAAACCCCCAAAAAACUUUCUCAUCUUCUUGCUGGAAAGAAAGCCUUGUCAAUAACAUUUUCAAAAUCAAGAAUCUUAAUUUUGUCUCUCCUUGAGCCCUUUAACAUUUUUCUUCCAUCUGGUCUGGAGAAUCUUCCUCAUUUCUUUUUACAACUCUUUUGAGCUCCUGUGAUGGAACCAGAGCUGUGCAUCUAAUUAGUUCACAGUUAAUGUGCUGUAAAGUGUAAUUUUGUACUAGCACCACACUUUUCAUCUUCGGAGAGCUUGGCAAAUAUGUAAGUCAUUAAUCUUGUCGAUGCUGCUCUGAGGCAGGUACUCUUUGCCAACUUCACCUUCCACCUCUGGGUGGGCAACCUUUUAAUAUUGAAAUUGUCUCAGGGCCACAGAGCAAAUUAAUAUUAGAGAGUGAGAUGAUAAAACUGCUUCUGCCACUUGGGUUUAUAUGCUCUAUAAUGACAGUAUGUAUAGAGAAUGCCAUUCAAUGGCAUCUCUCCUCCCUCCUCCCCCCCCCAGCAUAAAAUAUGUUGUUAGCAACACCUGGCGAGUUUUUCAUAUCGCUAACAUUUAGGAUGUUAUUUCCCCUCUUGCCAUAUAUUGCUUUGCGGUAUCAUGAAGUGCUGAGGUGCUUUCAUGCUGAUGGUUUUAUGAGAGUUCCUUGGUGACUUAUAAUGCUCCCUCUCUGUGAUCCACACACCCCUCUCCCCCAUAGAUCAAAUUAGAUGUCCAUGGGAAGAUUGUGAUAUGUCUCUGAAAGGGUUUUUAAUGAACCCUGACUGCCAUCAGGAGUGAGGAAACAGCAAGCGGUGGGGUGGGCAGCACUUCUCUUUCCUGCAGUUUGCCCACUCAGAAUUUAUUUCCCCCAGUUGCUUAUCUCCCUGUGAGGGAAAAAUAUCUGGGGACUCAUCCAUUCAGGUGGUUUAUACAAUGUGUGCUGUUGGAAUGUUUUAUGUUCUUUAGGGGGGUUUUGUGUCCAUGAUAUUGCUGUGCUUUAUUUUAAUGAACUAACAUUCAUUAAUUUGGGGAACCUUUGGGUUGAAAGCUUGGUUAUAAAUCCAAUUAGUAAUAAUAACAUCUUUUCCUACCCUCUUCCUUCACUCAGACUGCAGCCUUACCUAGCAAAUUCCAUUUUUUAAGUCAGGAGACUGAUUGAUGUUAUCUCCUAUGUAAUGUCUGCUCCACCCCACCCCACCUUGAUCGUGAAGGUUGCAGAUUGUUUGGGGUCAUAAUUGACUACACUGUAAAUAGCAUUUUGGGGGCUUUGGAAGUGUGGGAAAUGAGCAGCGGACUGGGCACUCUUUCCUCAGCCCAAUGUACCCAAUUGCCCCCUCUUCCACAUCUCUGUAUUUCUUAAUUUGUGUAUGUGGCUAGCCUGGGCCGCCAUAGUACAUUUGUUGGAUGGAGGGUAGGAUUUGUGCAGUAGCUAUAACAAACAGGAGUUUGGAAGGUGGGGGAGCAAGGAGGAAGCUUUCCAAAUGUAGCUGCUUUGGUAGUCGACCAUUAUUUACAAUGUCCACUAACUGGACCUGUCUACCAAAGUGUCAGGGGAGGCAAGCUGUGGCCUCGCUUCCUACUGGACUAUGGAGAUGCUCAGAAGCAGUGAGAAUCUUACUUCCUCUUGCAUCUGAGUGUUUCCAAAGCUUGGCAUGAACCAAGUGGCCGACUUCUCUUUUCCAAGUACGUGCCAGAGAGAUAUUGGGGAGAGGGCCAGGCUGAUUCUUCCACACAGCGUGAAGCAAAAUGCUGCUCCUGGCUUUUGAGUCCCCCUAGUUGUGUGGAGAACUUGUGGUGGGGGAGGGAGGGUCUCAUCUAGCAGUAAUUCAUUUUAUGGGCACCACUUUGAUAGACAAUAUGGAAAUUUAAUACAGUGCGUGGCCCCCAGGUUCUGAUGAAGUGCUCUUGUGGCCCACUUGGUCUGAGUUGAAACAAACAAACAAAAUCCUUCCAGUAGCACCUUAGAGACCGACUAAGUUUGUUAUUGGUAUGAGCUUUGGUGUGCAUGCACACUUCUUCAGAUGCACACGAAAGCUCAUACCAAUAACAAACUUAGUUGGUCUCUAAGGUGCUACUGGAAGGAAUUUUGUUUAUUUGUUUCGACUAUGGCAGACCAACACAACUACCGACCUAUAACUUGGUCUGAGUUGUUGGGACCACCUUGCUUUAGGGUAACCUUUAGAUUGCCCUUUUACGUUGCCCACUUGGUGUCCUGUAGAUGUUUUAGACUACAACUCUUCAUCCUCAGCUCCAGCACAUGUGAAGAGGUGGUUGGCGAAAGCUGCCACAGACAGCUAUGGAAC